GGCGAGUCAGGCGCGGGCCCGGGUAAGUAACGCCGGCAUGUGGAGUCACAGUCCCCGGCCGCGCGCAGGAGCUAGGUCUUCAGAGAAGUGAUGUUGCUCGGGUCUCUCCUCCCCUUGCUCUGGAAAUCUGGCGUCCGUCUUACCUUUUAGUGUCCCAGAACAACUUUUUCAAAAAGUUCAUAUAUUAGCUUGAAUUUACAAACUGCUGGCCUAUUUUUUUAAGUAGAAAACGGCCAAACAUCAGCAUUCAGCAGUUACACAUGGUUCAACUUAACAGAUGUGUUUUUUCAAAAAUGUUCUUGAAAGGAAUAGGUAAAGCUGUAGACCCAAAUAAUUUUGCACCCCACUAGUUGGAAAUGCUGGGGUACUUUCCCUCUAGCCCUGCAGGAAAAAACCCUAUACUGAAACCCAAAAAGCACAAAACACGGGUCUUCCAAAAACUCUUACCUAAUAGGACUUUCACCUUACACAUUGGUGGAGAGAGAUAACAUGACCCAAGCCUCCGUCUUAAUAACAUAAACUGCUGAAGCAAAGGCUCUUUCUUUUAAUACUGUGAAGUUCACAGCUGGGUUUGAACAUGUUGGAUCCCAGGUGGCAGCAGAAUGGGCUGGAGCAAUCAUCCAAGAGAUGAUCCAAGAUCAAACUCAGCUGAAGUCAGUUCCUCUCAACCUGCCCUGGCAUCAAAGUCUCAAAGCAAGUGGGGGCCAACCAGCAACAACCCCAUGGGAGCUUUGACAACCACAGAAUUUGAGAUGGCUGGUAAUCGUUCUCAGAACAUAAAACACAGACUAGUUAAGUGACCUUCAGUUCACUGAACACCUUUGAAGAACAACUUUUCAUUACAGCAGACAGCCCUGAUUGCUAUUCCAAUGUCAUCACAAACCCCCAGGAUGCUUGGAAGGCCAAGGAAUCAAGGUCAGCUGUAUCCACAGCCCUAGUCUCAAGCCUUCAUCCUCUUACCCGAUAGCAGGCGAUUCCCAGUCCUAGCCAGAUAGAUGAGCCCCAGUCUCAGGAAGACGAAGUGCAUCUCAGAAGCAUCCAUUACAAAGCUAAUGGUUCGUUCAUAGCAUGCCUUGGCCUCAGAAUGAUUUCCACUCAGAAAAUAGAGAUGGCCCUUCAGGCCCCAGACAUUGGGGUUCUGGGAAAGUGAAAAGCAAACCUCCUAGAAUGCUCUUCUUCUCUGAGAGGAGGCUUCAAUUCUUCAGCUGCUCUACCUGUGACUGCAUGGGAAGCUUCUGGAGGAUGUGCUCCACCAAAAUGAGGAAGCAAAGUAUGAAAGAGGAAGGCACAGAAUCCAAGAAAUGAUGCAUCUUGAAGUUAAAGGAGAUUUUCAGAAUCACAGCAAAGGAACAUCCCAGGAGAAGAGUUACCCAUCAGGCCUAGAGGUGUCUUCUACAACACCAGUGCUCUUUUGCUUUGUUACUUGUGCCUGAAGCAUCCGUGCCUGAAGCUGUUUGGAGGCCUCAUGAAAUGCCAUUUCCAUUCGAAUAUCAUUGUUUUGAAUUUCAUAGUACAAACCUGGGGAAAGAAAAAUGUUGAAAUACAUACGACUAUUUUCCCACUAUCAUAUACUAAAGAAUUGUAUUUCACUUAUUUUUCCCAUAUUUUACCAAAGUUUAAGAACUACAUGAUGAGCCAUUGAAGAAGAGAAAGGAAAAAGGGAAAAUCUUAUAAUGGGGAGAAAACACAUUCAGAUUACAAGAAAAUAUCUACCAAGUAAAGUCCAGGCUACAACAUUAGUUGGUUCCAAGCAAGUAGCAUCCUCAAAGAAAAUUUCUGCUUGCUCAUAGUUCUCCAACAGGACAGCCAGGACACCACACAGCAACAAGCUGAGAAAAGAUCACCAACAUGAUUAACAACACGGUCCCAUGUCACAUUUAUGGAACCAAGACAAUUUCACGUAGAAACUUAUCUGUUCCUUCCCACUGAUUCCUCAUCUCCCUUCCACCUAUACCUGUGGAUAUGACUCUGGUUGAGGGAAAGGGCUUUCUGAAAACACUCUUGUGCUUUGAUGUUGUCUUCAGUUAGGAGGCAGAAGGCACCAUAGUCCAACCAGUGAUCCAGAUUCUGGGGCUCACGGACCAAUCUCUAAGCAUCAGGAGAGCCAAGGUUAUUGUGAUACUAUGUCCUAUUUUUAUGCAUACAACAUCACAUGGUAAACACUAUAAAUACUGUAAGUUCUAUGAAAGCA